rnacentral:tRNA from 1 species
CCCAUCAUAGCUCAGUGGUAGAGCGUUCGGCUGUAGCAUUUAUGCUAAGGCGGAUUUUUCCCAAGAGGGAUAACAUGAAACCCUAUAAGCCGUACAGAUCCCGAAAGAUCCCCGGUUCGAGUCCGGGUGGUGGGA